GUGCCAGCCGCCGCGGUAAGACGGAGGGUGCAAGCGUUGUUCGGAAUCACUGGGCGUAAAGCGCGUGUAGGCGGUCCGAUAAGUCGAAUGUGAAAGCCCGGGGCUCAACCUCGGAAGUGCAUUCGAAACUGUCGGGCUUGAGUACGGGAGAGGGAAGUGGAAUUCCUGGUGUAGAGGUGAAAUUCGUAGAUAUCAGGAGGAACACCGGUGGCGAAGGCGGCUUCCUGGACCGAUACUGACGCUGAGACGCGAAAGCGUGGGGAGCAAACAGGAUUAGAUACCCCAGUAGUCC
rnacentral:rRNA from 1 species